rnacentral:lncRNA from 1 species
CCAUAACAUAGAUCUGGUAAUGAUUGGCUACAUAAGAUACCAUCCAGUCAGUGGCACUAUUAGUUUCAAUUUAGAUAUAAGAAAUCCCCCUAUGUGCUUCAAUGAUGCUUGUAUCCACGCUAUCAUCUACCUGCUAACACCCAAAGAAAGGUCAAUAAACCCCAGAAUCUCCCAGUGAGUCAGAAAACAGGACCUACCGAGCAGGCAUAGAAGUUUUACCAAAUCCCUUUAUAAGCUGCUGAAAAUAAUCGAUAUAUACAAUUCAAGGACUUUCUCAUUUCUCAUGCUUCAAGCUUGUUCAUCCAUAUGAUACCCUCUGUUUUCAGAGGUUUUACUGUCCAGUAAAACAUAAAAACUAAUCUUUUUAACUUUUGCCAGCCACCAGUAUCCUUCAAUUACCAUUACGACUCCAAGGA